CCAGCCAAAGAGCGAGCAGUUUUGAAUUUAGCAGCUGAUGCUCUGCACACUGAAUUCUUAUCACACAGGUGUGAUCCUAUGAUAAUAUAAAAUAUAUUAUACGGCUAUAUUUUGUCUUUUGGAAGCUGCAUUGAAAAUCCACUUGGCAUGAAAAUCUGUGGAGCACGUGCCCCCUCACUUUAAAUGGGCAUGACGCUUCUGAUUACAGAGAACGUCAUCCUAGAUGCACAUGGCUGGUUUGGGGUUUGCUGAGGAGAGUCAUUCAGUCUGUGCUGCUGGUCAGGAGGGGCAGUUUGUAAGACUGUGCGUUCUGCUGUUAGUGUCACAGACGGCGCAUGUGAAAUGUGUGUUCAGAGCAGAGAACAGCGGCCUUAUCACGUCCUCCUUCUGUCCAGUGCCUCGAGGGGACGGAUUCUAUUGUUUCUAGAAAAAGACCAGUCCCAAACUGCCAUUCAGCACCUUGGAGAGCAGCAGCAUGCUUUCUUUGCAAGUGCAGAUUGUAAGAGAUUGUGCUAAUUCAGCAUUUAUUGACCUUCAUGUCUGCAUAAAUACUCAUAGACAUGCA